GGGGGGGUCUCACCUGCCACUUCCGGGAGUCCUCACGACGUCGUAGCGUACGCUGGGCUUCCUGCGACGGUCUCUCGACGGGCUUCUCAGGACGGUGGUUCCCUCCCUGAACGGUUCCCGGACGUCGCGCGAGUAGGUUUCGAUCGGACGCGCGCCUCGCGUUACACCACGUUCGAGGAGAACGCCGUUGCAAAAUUCGCGAGUUCCCUCACGACGGACGCUCGGGAUGUUACUGAGAGAUGUUCUCGCUGAAGGGCAGAGAUGAGGAAGAAAUAGAAGAAGAUUCAAAGAGUGGAGAGAAGCGCGCGCGUGUCCUCCGUCUGUGCGUCAGCGGUGCGUGACGCAUAGCGAUUUAAAUAAGCAUGCAAUAUUUUCUUAACGAGGAACGUAGCCUCGCGAUUAAUCAACGUAAAUGUACACGGAAGCCAUUCCAUUAUCCCAACAGUUCGCGCGCUUCUCGGAGACACCUCGAGCGUACGCGGAAAUGGACGGACAAUCCACCGGAUGUUACGCCAAUGUGUGCGAUUGCAUCGUAUAAGAACAUUCAUCGGCAUACACGGCGCUGAGAGAGAACGCGUUUGCCGGACACACGCGCGUCGCUGUAGUCUGCAAACCAGGCGGAUCAACAACCGGACGAGCUGCAGCUUCCCCUGCGCGUUUCGUCUGCUCCUCUCGUCGUCGCGAUGCACGCGGAAGAUUUAACGCUCGGCUCUCCGCACGACUCGCUCGCGCGCCAGAGAGAAAGAACGAACCGAGGAAGUGGAGGUAAUUAAUCGAGUGUAUCGUGGCAAAAAUUCAUGUGAAAUGAGACGAGAAGUCGAGCGGACGAGGGCGAAAACGUUGUUAUUAAUGACGCGGGAGUUUUUCUCGCGGAAGACACCGGGAUAAGCUCGCGAGGCUCCCGACGAAAAAUGGUAAUGGCCAUUAACGCGCUGCACCCCUUCGAGGGGGUAAAUUGCAGUAACGGACGAUGGUUCGAGUGGGGGGCAGAAUCGACGCGUUGAGUGAACUCGCAGACGAAAACGAGUGACACGUGCGCGCCAUAAGGGCGACGAUCUUACGCCUCGCUCUCCAUUUUCAUCCUCCACUCCGUAAAAAAACUCCGCUAAUACAGCGUCGGAAACGCUGGAAUAACAAAGUACACGCGUGCGACGGCAAUCGCUCGGGCACAGAAGCUUUGCUGUUAUUUUAAUAUAUUAAACAUAUGUUAAAUAGCAAUAUAUAAAUAUUAUGUUAUAUUUUAAUCUAAAAAUAAAUGUAAAUUUUAUAAUUUGUUAUGUCAAAGUGACACAUAUAACUCUAUUAUAAUGCUAAUGUAACAUAUAUCACGAGAGAAGUAACAGUCCCUCUCAUACUGAAGAAUGAGCUCAACAUUUUUACUUGCCAAUUUGAACAGAUGAAUUCUGUCACUGAUAAUAAGAAACACAUUUAUUGCGUAAAAUUUAAAAUCCAUGCGCAUUGUAUUGCUCUUUUUCAGUUAUUCUAGUAAUUCGAUGUUUUAUUUAAAUUAAAACAACAGCAAUUUGUAAAACUUAUUCGUGUUUUUAACACAAAAAUUUCAAGGACUGAUUUUAACGUAAAUACAAAACGUUUUUGUUACUGUUCGGAGUUCGAAUGCAACGACAGUGCGACGCUGGGUCGAUUGAGUCCUCGCACGACGAGGAAUUAAAAUUCAUGCUUCGCCGCAAUUAUCCGAACGUGAUGGAUCACGUAGCCGACACGGUGAUAUACAUACGUAUUACGUAUCGAGGAAGACGUAAAGUGCGCCGUAGAUCGCGGAAAUGCGAAGGACGACGAGAGCGAGAGAUACGACGGGAGUUUAUUUCCCUAACGUGCGCAUCCCCGCACUUUAUCCCACGUUUCCCCGAGACGUGCAUUUUCACGUCAGUUUCGACACGCGAGAGAGAAACGUGAAAAUAUCCCCCUGCCAUCUUCAAUUCUAUCGAUAUCCGCAUCCUUAUUAGAUUGCCUAUAUUUAAAUUAAGUUUACGAUGUACCUGUAUUUUUCUUUGACGUAACUCUUCAUUGCAGUUUACGCUCAUAAUUAAAAUAAAGCUCGGAGCUGAAGCGAAAGAAGAUUUGAUGAUUUAAAAGCAGGCGAAACGCGGCAACGUAAUAUUCAGCGAUUUCAAAGUUAGAUUAUGAAAGCUACGCGUCCGGCAAAAGAGAAGUACCAGAGGUUUAUUAUGAUACGCAUCAAGCUUAAGCCCAUUUAAAAGUAAUUAAUCCGUUGCCAUACAGUGUUCCGCAGUCACUAGACAAUAUUUGAAUAGCGCUGAAACGCUGGGGAGCAAUUAAAUUUCGAAACUCUUUUAUUGAAAUUGUCGAAUAUUUUUCGUGUUAUAAACUAUUAAAAGUUAACCAAUAGUAACGCGUUUGCACAUGCUCAUAAUUAUAUUUAAUAAUAAUCUAGUCCCCCGACGUUUUCACGUUGAGUCUCUCGAUAUUCUCAUUAAUUUUCAGAGUACGUUAAUAAAGUGCUUUUUUUCCCUUACAUCUUGGAUAGACUCGAAGAAAAGAGAGAAACGUAAAAUGAUUAUAAAAUAUUAAGAUCGAUACCGCUUU